AUUGAACGCUGGCGGCAGGCCUAACACAUGCAAGUCGAGCGAGCGGCGGACGGGUGAGUAAUGUCUGUGAAACUCCCUGAUGGAGGGGGAGAACUACUGGAGACGGUAGCUAAUACCGCAUACCAUCAGAGGUGCCCAUAUGGGAGUAGCUCGUAGGUGGGGUAACGGCUCACCUAGGCGACGCGCCCUAGCUGGUCUGAGAGGAUGAGCAGCCACACUGGAACUGAGACACGGUCCAGACUCCUACGGGAGGCAGCAGUGGGUAAUAUUGGACAAUGGGCGCAAGCCUGAUGCAGCCAUGCCGCGUGUGUGAAGAAGGACUUCGGGUUGUAAAGCACUUUCAGCGGGGAGGCGUUACCCGCAGAAGAAGCACCGGCUAACUCCGUGCCAGCAGCCGCAGUAAUUC
rnacentral:rRNA from 1 species